CCAUGUAUAUGGGGAAGAAUAUGUGCAACAAGCUGAUGCUGAAGAAGAAGUUGUACAGUCUUCGGAAGCAGGAGGGAUCUGAUGUGAUUGGCCACAUUCAGAGGUUCGACCAGUUGUGCAUGGAGUUGGUGAAUAUCGGGGUAAAGCUGGAUGAGGAGGACAAGUCUCUAUUGCUUCUAUGUUCGCUGCCCGGAUCAUUUGAUUCUUUGGUGACUACACU
rnacentral:lncRNA from 1 species